AGAGUUUGAUCCUGGCUCAGGAUGAACGCUAGCUACAGGCUUAACACAUGCAAGUCGAGGGGAAACGACAUCGAAAGCUUGCUUUUGAUGGGCGUCGACCGGCGCACGGGUGAGUAACGCGUAUCCAACCUGCCCACCACUUGGGGAUAACCUUGCGAAAGUAAGACUAAUACCCAAUGACGUCUCUAGAAGACAUCUGAAGGAGAUUAAAGAUUUAUCGGUGAUGGAUGGGGAUGCGUCUGAUUAGCUUGGUUGGCGGGGUAACGGCCACGAAGGCGACGAUCAGUAGGGGUUCUGAGAGGAAGGUCCCCCANAUUGGAACUGAGACACGGUCCAAACUCCUACGAGAGGCA
rnacentral:rRNA from 1 species